UAUUAUGAAGUAGUUUACCUACA
rnacentral:siRNA from 1 species